AGUGAACGUUGGCGGCGUGGAUUAGGCAUGCAAGUCGAGCGAGAACCGUAGCAAUACGGGGACAGCGGCGAAAGGGACAGUAAUGUGUAGGUACCUACCCCGGGGUCUGGGAUAGCUGCGGGAAACUGCGGGUAAUACCGGAUAAUGUCUUCGGACCAAAGGUGUGAUUCCACCUUGGGAGGGGCCUGCAUCCUAUUAGCUUGUUGGCGGGGUAACGGCCCACCAAGGCAACGAUGGGUAGCGGGUGUGAGAGCACGACCCGCGUCAUUGGGACUGAGAUCCUGCCCAGACACCUACGGGUGGCUGCAGUCGAGGAUCUUCGGCAAUGGGCGAAAGCCUGACCGAGCGACGCCGCGUGCGGGAUGAAGGCCUUCGGGUUGUAAACCGCUGUCGUAGAGGAGGAAUGCAGGAGGGUUCUCCCUUCUGUUUGACCUAUUCUAGGAGGAAGGACGGGCUAAGUUCGUGCCAGCCGCCGCAGUAA
rnacentral:rRNA from 1 species